rnacentral:rRNA from 1 species
UCCUCCCUCUUUCUUCGUGCUUAACACAUGCAAGUCGAACGGAAAGGCCCUGCUUUUGUGGGGUGCUCGAGUGGCGAACGGGUGAGUAACACGUGAGUAACCUGCCCUUGACUUUGGGAUAACUUCAGGAAACUGGGGCUAAUACCGGAUAGGAGCUCCUGCUGCAUGGUGGGGGUUGGAAAGUUUCGGCGGUUGGGGAUGGACUCGCGGCUUAUCAGCUUGUUGGUGGGGUAGUGGCUUACCAAGGCUUUGACGGGUAGCCGGCCUGAGAGGGUGACCGGUCACAUUGGGACUGAGAUACGGCCCAGACUCCUACGGGAGGCAGCAGUGGGGAAUAUUGCACAAUGGGCGGAAGCCUGAUGCAGCAACGCCGCGUGCGGGAUGACGGCCUUCGGGUUGUAAACCGCUUUCGCCUGUGACGAAGCGUGAGUGACGGUAAUGGGUAAAGAAGCACCGGCUAACUACGUG